GUUGAAUGUCCUGGAAGCCUGGUCCCUGAGACAUUGCCAGGGACACCAGCCCACCAGGGACGCAAAGCCCAUGAAAGACAGAUAAAGGGAGCCGCUCCCUGAGCCAGGAACCUACACACGGGAGAUUAAUCCAUCCAUUUCCGCGGCGAGGUGCCUGCUUCCCACGUGUGAGUAACUGAUGUAAAAUCAUAAAAUGGACCAUUUGCCUUUAUUUUCGUGUGACCUUGGACUUUGCAAAACUCUGAGCAACUUACUUGAAAUUUAACCAAACGUCAGCAGAGAGCCUGGCUCCAUAGUUCCCACUGAUCCCGCGAGUCCGGGCUGGCCCCAUUCAGCCCUUGCUGUCGAGCCCUGCAAGACGCACAGCCGGGGCCACGGUACCCACCGCCUUCCCUUCUCGCCUCUAAGGCAACAGAGGAGAUCCCGUCCUGCCUGCCUGGCCCUGCUGGCACGCACAGCGUGGCUGGACUUGUUGCUCAUUUCACUUAAACCCUAUGACACCCUUCCAAGCAGGCCUCCCUCAGAUCCCUGUGUUUGAGAAGGAGAAACAGGUUUCGAGAGGUGCCCUGGUCUCACGGAGCCCUGCAGCGGCGCGGAGCACCGGCGGUUCUGCAGCCAGGCUGCCCGGACUGUGCGGGGACUGGGUCUUUACACCCCAGAGCUUUCACGUAGCCGGUGCAGCUCACACCUUCACCCGAGGGGACAGGGGCUGGUGGCAAAGCCCCACAUUGGCCUGAGUGACCGAGUAGCUGCAGGGACCCACUGGGAUUUGAGGAGCAAAAGAAAGAAGAAAAUAGGAAAAAAAUCAACCUUUUUGAGCCAAAGCAGAAUGAGUUUACUGAGAGUUAGACUGAGCUUGAAGGAGACGCAGUGCAGGUUUGCGGGCCGGCCCAGACUCCUGAAACAAAGCAUCACAACCCACACCGGCGGCAAACACAACAGACAUUGGUUCUCGCAGGCUCUGCAGGCUGGAAGUUCCAGAUCGAGGGAUGUAGACGUGGCAGUGAAACUGAAAAGAAAAACAAGGAAUUUAUGGCCAGAAAAUGACAGAGAUCGGUUAU
rnacentral:lncRNA from 1 species